AGGAUGAACGCUGGCGGCGUGCUUAACACAUGCAAGUCGAACGAUGAAGCAGAGCUUGCUCUGUGGAUUAGUGGCGAACGGGUGAGUAACACGUGAGUAACCUGCCCUUGACUCUGGAAUAAGCGUUGGAAACGACGUCUAAUACCGGAUACGAGCUUCCGCCGCAUGGUGAGGAGCUGGAAAGAAUUUCGGUCAAGGAUGGACUCGCGGCCUAUCAGGUAGUUGGUGAGGUAAUGGCUCACCAAGCCUACGACGGGUAGCCGGCCUGAGAGGGUGACCGGCCACACUGGAACUGAGACACGGUCCAGACUCCUACGGGA
rnacentral:rRNA from 1 species